AUUAUUUACACUUUGUAAUUAUUUGUCUGUAUCUCUUUUCCUAGACUGAGAACUACUUCACAGUACUGUGUAACUUUUUCCUUAUUUUUCUAGUAUCUAUCAUCUGGAAUACAACAGAAUUUUCAUAAAUAGUUUAGAAUAAAAAUGAUACUAGCAUGUUUAGGUUUAAGUUUGUUUCUUUUUGAGUCUUUUUCCUGUUGUGUAAAAUGGCCUUUAACCUACAAGGACAGAUAGCUUUCAGUUCCUCUGGGUUAGAACAAAUGUUAAUUGUAUUUUGUUAGGAAGGAAUAGUUCUGUUUGCUUUGCUUUGAUUGUGUGUGUUUGUCCACAGUGGUCUGAGUAAACUGAACACAUACUUUCAGAUUUUGAGGCUUUAGAAGUUGUUUCCUAGGAUGAGAAGAUAAUAACUUUUGAUCUGUGAGAGACUCUGUUUACUCCAGAACUCCUUUAGAGAUUUUUUUAAUGAUGUUUUUAAAUAUAGGUAUCAUUUACACACUAAUUUACACUGUGCCAAUUUAAACAGAUCAGAAAACAUAGAGAACAUUUCUGUCAUCCCAGAAAGUUGUCUUGUACCAAUUUUCAAUUAUCUCACCCAUAGUCAAAUUUUGUGAUUUUUAUCAACAGAUGCUGCUGCUUCUACAACUUUAAACAUGUAGUGAGUGAUACUAAGUGUAAGUGCUCUAUGUCCAGCUUCUUUUGCUCCACUUAAUAAUGUAUUUGGGAUUUAUAUUUGCUUUGCUUGAGUCAGUAGAUUUUUUUUUUUCUUUGUGUGGCUAAGUAGUAUUGUUACUGGCUUUUAAGUCUGGAGAAAAUUCCUUCCAGGUUCUUCAUGUUGUGAACAAAGAAUUAAGACACAAAGAAAAGGCAGCAGAAGUGUAUGCUUUUUAAAGGUGGAAAAGAAGUACAUUCUGAAGAGUGAGAGUGGGCCUUGAACCAGAUUCAAAGUGACUAUGAGAAUAAUGGCAGGGCUCUUUUGUACCUGUAAUUCCUAGAUUGCUGCUCCCUUAUGUAAAUAAGACAUUUGGGACCCUUGUGCUAGCAGAAACUUACUCAGCUGGUGUCAGAUUUAGGCUGUCUAUGGAAGGCUCAGGGGGUUUUGUGCCAAAUGUAAAUGAAGACAUGAAGAUGACACUUUCUGAUUGGUUCCAUGUACAGUGCUCAGGAACUGCAGUUACUCUGGGUCUUCUGUCCUGUGCAUGUGCCCUGGGUCUCUGGUGACUGACAGACUGUUUACCUGUUUUGUUCCAGCCCUAAUCUCCUACUUAAGUAUUCCGUUGUGUAAAUUUAUCUGUUCAUUUGCUGAUGGACAUUUGGGUGAGCUACUAUGAAUAUUACCACUAUGCACAUUAUUGUAUGUGACAUUGUGAACAAAUGUUUUCUUUUUUUAAUGUCUCAAUAAAAGAUUAUUUACAAAAAGAAGCUGUGGGCCAGAUUUGGCUGAGCACCAUUGUGUUGAUAACCUCUGAUCUACAAGAUUGGCUGUUGCUCUUAUUUCAGCCAAGUAGAAAUGGACCAAGAGGUCCAUUUCUUUUGUAUGAUACUUAGAAGUACAUCAUUAAGGGGCUGGGGAUUUAGCUCAGUGGUUCUGCCACCUGCCUCGUAAGCAGAAGGUCCCGAGUUUGAUCCCUGGGAGGGAGAGAGAGAGAGAGAGAAAGAGAGAGAGAGAGAGAAGUACAUCAUUAAGUUAAUUUUAUAAAAAAAGUCAAACAUUUUACCUGAGGGGGUUACAUAAUUUAACAUGGUCAUUAGUAGUGUAUAUGAUGGUGCUUCCAUAGUUUAAAAAAAGUCUGUGUCCUUUACCAGGCCCCUGUAACCUAGUAGUCUUGAGAUUUCAAAUCUGAGCUGUCUGUAGUGGUACAAUUCUUUUUGCUUUGCUUUGAUUGGGUAUAUUUAUCCACAGUGGUCUGAGUAAACUGAACACACACUUUCUAAUUUUUUAAGUCACCUUUUUAAGAUCAAUUAACUGUUGGUUUUGUUCCUAGGUUCUGUGGAGUCUUGCCUAGUGUAUGAGUAUUCAUGAGUUUAGUCGAGGACUAUAGAAUUUAUUUGCAGACUCUGGACCUCAUCUUCCGUUAUUUCCUCCUUUUGGGGAUUUUCUUUCUUAAGUUUUUGGUGUCCUGUGGCCAAAAGGACCAGGUUUUCUGCUUCAGUUCCAUCUGAUGAGACACAGAAUUGGUUGUACCCUCACAGGAUAGGCAUGCAUAUAUAUAUAUAUAUAUAUAUAUAUAUAUAUAUAUAUAUAUAAAGUAUCAUUCAGUGUACUGCCUUUCUUUGUGACUAUGGACUUCCUGCUAGUUUUCAGUUGUUCUCCAGUACAUUCAAAAAGUUCAUUUUUAAUAUUUCUCCACAGUUUCUAAUUGUUAUUGGACAGAGGCCAACAUGACCAUCACAAAGCUAGACCUCUUAAAGAAUUUGUUUUGUGUAGUUUGUUUCAGUCAUUUAUAAAGAGAUGUUGGACCUUGUUUCUACUUGGAGUUUCAAAAUCUCUUCCAGUCAUUUAUAAUAGAUGAAGCUAUUGUUGCUGGGCAGUGGAGCAUUAUGUAAAUGUAGGACAGGAUUUAUAACAUACUUAGCAUUUAUGAAAAGAAAUAGAAGAUUAGAACACACCUAAAAUGGGAAAUGUGUUACUCUAAUUUAGGCAUAGGUUGAUAGUAGUUAGCCAAAUAAAUUGAAAUUCAAGUAACUACUUUACCAUUCCAAAUUUCUGACUUGUUAAAAAUCACCUUUAAGAGAGAUCUCACUUUUGAAAUUUCUGACUGACUUUGAUGGAUUUUGGUGGUUAAAAUCCACCAGGUAUAUUAGUUCAGAUCUCAGAGUCCAGGAACGAAGAGAAAUUUGGCCAACUUAAAAUAUAUUAUGCUCCAGGAAAAGUAAGAAUGUAGCUAAAAAUGGAAAUUAAUACCAUCAGCAUUGGUACUAUUUUGAUCUCGUCUGCUGAUACUCACUGUGGUAAGAUAUAUCAUCAAGAUAUUGGUAGUAAUAGGUGAACAUUGAAGGAGGGCUAACAUUUUAAACAUUUUGUCAGCAGUGCUGUGCUAAAUAGUAGCAGCAGUGCCUUGUUUCAUUUUCUGUAUAUAUAAUGUUUCUUUGAAACAUUUUUGAAGUAUAGUGUAAUCAGUUUUUACUUGAUUUAACUUCAAACUUUAAAAAGUCUAUAAAAAUGUGUCUGCAAUAUAAAAUGAAAAUAUUGAUACGUGAAAAGGAAGAAAAUUAAAUUACUGUAACCAUAAUCCUUCUACCAGGGACAACCACUUGGGAGGCAUAUAUCCUUUUAGUCAGUUUUCUGUUUUAAUUUUCAAAGCUGGAUAUUAUAGAAUAUAUUAUAUUCUGUUAUAGAAUAUAUUAUAUUCUGUUAUAGAAUAUGUGUUAUAUUCUAUUAUAGAAUAUGUGUUACAUUAUAGAAUAUGUGUUUUAUAAACUACUUUUCCUCUAGCUUUGUUCAGACAGUUCUAUAUGUAUGUGAAUGUUUGCAUUUGUAUAUGUUAUGUGUAUUUAUUUGAACUGCGAAUUUUGUAAUUUGAUUAAAGUUAGAAAAAAGAUAUCUUAAAGAAAUGAUACAAUUACUUGUUUUAAAUUUAGCUAGCCGAAUGUCUGACUACUCUAGGACCUGGGAAAAUACAAGUUUUAUUAUUAACUAAAACUGCAUUUUUUGUCUCUCUUUUCAGUGACGAAAGGGAGAAAUGCCUUUGUAGCUUGUACUUGAACCACUUUGAGAAUGGCUGCUCUUAUUCUGUAUAAAUAAAUCUAGGAACAAUUUACCCACUGGCAACAGAACAUAGCCUCGCUUUAUCACCUUGACUAUGUUGUAGAUAGUAAGCAAGAGAAUAUUUUGCUCAUUUUCACCACCCCUUUAGUCAUUGAACUGAGGAUCAUUUUCACAUUGCAUCUCUGUCACUCUUUGUUUUGACUUUUCUCUGUGAUCACUUCUCACUCAUAUGCAGAGGUUUUCCUCUUGGGCUAGAAAGAUAAAAAGCACAAGCUCUCACUGACCUGUGCUCAAAGUGAUAAGGUUAGUAGUAGGUUUGAGCUCUCUAAACCUCAGGUUUUGCUCAAUGUAGAAAUGCCUUGCUUAGUUCAGGAUGGUUGGGAGAACCAGGGCAUCUAAGUGCUAAUAUAUUUGUCAGAUGUUCUGCUUUGUAUAAUUGAGAGUGCUGGAUGACUGGCUUCUUCAACUUACUAUAAGAAACAGUUUUACUUCUAACUUUAUUGUGGAAAAAAUGUGACUUGUUUUUUAUUUUAAAAUUUGUUCUCAACAGUAAGGAGAGUAUUCUUAUUUUAAAUAUAGAAAUUGUGGAGGGAUAUGGUGUGUUUUAACUCCUAUGGAUAUAACUCCCUUUGUUGCCUUUUUGGAAAUAUCAUUAGACAGAAAAACAACUUGCUAUUUAUUUUAAAUAUAGAAGUUUCUAGGAGACAAGAGUCUGGUCUGCAUUCUUAAUACCUCACUGGAAUACUGGAAAUAUUUCUAUCUGCAUUGGGUGCUUGUUUAGAUAUGGUGAUUUUUGCUGAAAAUAUUAGUAAGCAUCAUUUGCUUCGAUCCAGACAGGAUCCACAUACUCAGCACCCACAUUGCUUUGGGGUUGUAGAUGGCACAGAAAUAUCUGCUGAGUAAACAGAUGAAUUUAGGAAUAGAGAUAAAGGAAUAGAAUAGACCCUUCUAAUACAAGCUUCUGUGCUGGCUCAUUCUUUUCUUCCCCGGUUAACAUUCAUUAAAAAACAAAAAAAGGAAACGUCAUACAUAAGAAAAGGGAGCCUAUUUUAGGAUCAUCUCCCAGGCUUUCCUCAUUCUUCCCUGUUCUCUGUCAGCAGGAAGUAAUGACAUCAGGGGUGGGUAGCUCAUUUCCCUUCUGCACUAUUGUUUGUAUAUACAUUACAGUUAAGACUUUGCAGCCUCAUCAAUUCACAGAUUAUUCCAGUUUGGUCAGAAGUCUGAGCAUGACAGUCAAGAGAAAUACCGCCACGAAGGUAUUAGCAUGUCUUACCUGAGGCUUGAACGGAAAAGAUUUACUUUCAGGCUCAUGUGGUUGACAGAGUUCUGUUUCUUGUGGACUUUUAGACUGAGAUCCUCAGUUUCUUGCUGGCAGCCAGAAUUUGCCCUCUUGUGGCUCUCUCAUUAGGCAGUUUGACAACCUGGCAGCAUGCCCUUUCACAGCUAGCAAAGGAGAGAAACUUAUACUGCCUAUUUUAAUCGUAUGUAAUGUAAGCACAUGCAUCCUGUCAUUUCUGCGUUAUUUCAUGGGUUUUAAGAUAAUUACAGGACUUGCUCAUACUCAAGAGGAGGGGAUUUCCCAAGGAAUGGAUAAUAAGAGACUGAAACCAAGGGGCCUCUUCUGUCUGCCACACAUAAGGCUGGCCAGGACUAUGGUUUUUGACUUUCCUCCUCCGCAGUUCUACUACUUAACAGAACAUGUUUUUCAUCUCUUCUGUUUUUUUUCUUCCCCUUCCUUCUGAAAGAGAAUUCAACAGCCUCAGGUGAUUCUUCCUUCUGUUUCUGCUGUAGAAAGUAGUGAAAAAGUCACAGGAAACUGCCUUAGGAAGCAACUUUCAUGCUAUCUGGGGCCCUCCCUUUGAAAUGGGCAUUUUGAGUAUGUGACACACUCUGUAAGCAAGUGUUUCUCAGUCAUUAGUGUGGCUUACAUAAAGGACCACAGUGAGGCCUUUCCAGCUUUUGUGUCUUCUGUCACUGCUGCUUUUCAGCAAGCACCAAAUCCCCAAGUUCACUUGCACAGUGCCAUCAUUUUAGGAUCUCUUGCUUUGACUGUAUUGACAGAUUUUUGUUUACAAUCAUUAACACGUUUGGUUCUUUUACUCUUUAGCCUCAUUAACUGCUGUUAUGUGUUAUUGUUCUCUUCACUUCCGAAGUCUUUGGGGUGUUGUUUCUUGCUUUUCUCUGGCCUACUCACAGCCUGUGGCUUAGUCUUCCAUUUCUCGUAUUGCUGACGAGGCAAUGCAGUAUAGUAUAGAAGUUAAAAACAAGGACUAAAGCUAGUGGGUUUGAAUUCCAGAUUUUGCCAUUUUUUAGCUGAGUAAUUUUUUUUUUUUGGUUAAAUUCUUUUAUUGGUACAUUGCAGGUAUGCAAUACAUUUACAUUUAUCAUUGGUUACUGUACACGAUGUAUCUUAGUUCUUACUUUUUCCCCAUUCCCUGUGCUCCCUUCAACCCCCUCUACCCUUCCCUAUUUACAAAGACUUUGUUUCCAUUUUUUCCUUUUCUAUAAUUUUUCGUUUCCCUUCUUACCUUUCUUCUUCCUCUCCAACUUCUCCUACCCCUUUGGACCUUUUCUUCCUAUUUCAAAUUAUCAGUUAUUCAUUUUAAUCAUUUUAAUCCUUAUUUACACUUUCAGUUUCUUAUACCAGAGAAACUGUUUGGUAUUUCCACAUGUGUCCUAUUUAUUUCACUUAAGAGUAUGGCCUCAAUAUGCAUCCAUUUAGCUAUAAAUGUCUCCACUUUCUCAUUCUUUAUGGUUGAGUAAUACUCCAUUUUAUAAAAAAAACUACAUUUUCUUUAUCUAGUUUCCAGUUGAUGGGCACUUGGGCUAUUUCCAAGUUUUAGCUAUUACAAACUGCUGCUGUAAACAUAGGUACACAUAUAUCCCUGUGGUAUGAUUCUUUUAAUUAUUUAGGGAAGAUACCCAGCAGGGGAAUAGCUGCGUCAAAUGGGACCUCUAGUCCUAGUUCUUUGAGGUAUCUCCAUACUGAUUUCCACACUGGUUGCACCAGUCUGCACUCCCACCAACAAUGGAGAAGGGUCUCUUUCUACCCACACCCCCACCAGCAUUUGUUAUUGGUUGAUUUCUUGACAGCAGUCAUUCUUUCUGGGGUGAGGUGCAAUCUCAGUGUUGUUUUCAUCUGCAUCUCUCGAAUGACCAGUGAUGUUGAACAUUUUUUCAUAUGUUUAUUUGCUGCCUUUACUUCUUUGUCUGAGAAAUGUCUGUUCAUUUCAGAUGCCCAUGUUUGAAUUGGGUCUUUAAAUUUGAGGGGUCUGAUUUUUUUCAGUUCUUUAUAUAUUCUAGAUAGUAGUCCUUUGUCUGAGGUACAGCUGCUAAAAUUUUUUUCCCACAUUGUAGGUUGUCUCUUAGUUCUGUUGGUGGUUUCUCUUGCAGUGCAGAAGCUUUUUUUUUUUUUUUUUAAUAAGAUGACAUCCCAGUUGUUGAUUCUUUGUGCUAGUUCCUGUGCUACUGAUGUUUUGUUCGUAAAGUUUUUGCUAUACCAAUGUCUUCAAGAGUUGUACCUAACUUAUCUUCCAGCAAGUUUAGUGUUUCUGUUUUAAUAUUUAGAUCUUUAAUCCACUUUGAUCUUAGUUUAGUGCUCGGUGAUAGAUACGGGUCUAGUUUUAAUCUUUGGCAGGUUGAAAUCCAGUUUUUCCAACACCAUUUCUUAAAGAGGCUAUCUUUCCUCCAGUGAGGGUGGUUGGCUCCUUUGUCAAAGAUGAGGUGGCUGAGUGUGUCUGGAGUUGUUUCUGCAUCUUCUGAUCUACUUCACUGAUCCUCAGGUCUGUUUGUUUGCCAGUACCAUGCUGUUUUUUAUCACAGUAGCUUUGUAAUAUAGUUUCAUGUUGGGGGCUGUGAUAGCCCCUGCCAUGUCUCUAUUGCCUAGAAUUGCUUUUGCUAUUCUAGGUCUCUUCUGGUUCCAAAUGAAUUUUUGUAUUGUUUUCUAUAGUUCUGUGAAAUAUGUAGUUGGAAUAUCAAUUGGCAUUGCAUUAAAUCUAUAUUAGCUGAGUAAUUUUGAGUAAACUAUUCAAUUUUUUUUCUGUGUGGCUGGUAUUAACAUUUCUGAAAUUUUGCCUGGCCAGCAAGCUUCAGACUGCUACUGCUGCUCUCCAGAUUUAUGCACAGAUACUUGAGCCAAUAAUUGCCCUUUCUUACUAAGUGCAACUUGACCCCAGGCUCAUUUCUGAUGAGCCUGAAAUGAGCUGGAACAUGUUUUAGUUUACAUGAAUGUCUUGUUGUUGUUGUUGUUGUUGUUGUUGUUGACUUCAGCCUGGUACUUGCUUUGCCUCCUAAGGAUGAGGGAUGUGUACUUUUUCAGACAGCACAACAAGUACUUAUUGUUUGUCUGCACUCUAUUCUAUUUAUAGAUACUAUAUUCUUUAACCCACAUAACAACAUUCAGUUGUAGUGCUAAUAUCACUUCCAUUCUAUAGAUAAGGAAAUUCAGGAGUAGAGAAAUUAAACAGUUUGCUCAAGGUCUUCAGGACUCCUUUGGGGAAUCUAAUUCUGUGUGACUUCGAAGCAUGUUCUUUUAAUGAUCACUGGUCAUUGUUUCCCAUAGAGGAAGUCCAAACCCCUGUUGGUGAACUAUCCCCAUAAGAGAAAGAGGCUAAAAAUCCAAAAUAAUUUUGCCUUACAACUGUAAGAGCUUUUGCCCCACUUUGUGUACCUUUUGGCACACAAAGCCUUGGAAUGCUUUUUUUGGGGGGAUGCACAGUUAGUAGGGAUUGAACCCAGCAUUGUAUAUGCUAGGCAAGUGCUAGAGCUUGCUGAGCUAUACCCCCAUCCCUUUUUAUUUUUUAUUUUGAGAUAGUGUCUCAUUGAAUUACAUAGGCUGGUCUCAAACUUGCAAUCUUUCUGCCUUAGCCUACUGAGCAGCUGGAAUUACGAGUGUGGACCACCAUGCCCCAUUACUCUUAGUUUUGAUACUGGCCAGUCUCCUUUACCAAGGGACAGCAUGCUUGGUUUUGUCUAGCCUGUAAAGUGUACAUAUAAAAAGAAGUGUGUUCUUUCUAGGUUUUUGCCUGACUCUUAUGAAAUCUUAACAUUGUAUAUGUAGUAGAAUGAUUAGGAAGUAGCAGAUUUUUUUUUGGUACUGGGGAUUGAGUCCAAGGUUUUUGCACUGAGCUAUAUCCUUAGCCUUCCUCUUUAUUUUUUAAUUUUUGAGAUAGGGUCUCACUAAAUUGCCAAAUUGCCCAGGGUGGUCUUGAACCUUUGAUCCUCCUGUCUUGACCUGCCAGAGUCCUGGGUUUGAAGUAUGCCACCAAGUCCAGCUAGUACUAGAUUUUUAACAAUCACAUUGAGGAUUUAUAUGGCCAGAUUGUCCAGUAUAAGACAUCAGCUGAGUUAAUUGCUUAUAUCAUUGCUCUGCAUUGUUUUAUUCUUUCAUCUAAGUUAUCUUACAACUUCUUCCUGUCCUCAGUACUUAUUAGCACAUUAUCAUCUGCUGAAUAGAAUUCAUUAAUGAUGGAUAUUGAAGUCACUUACAAUUAUUUGGAAUAACUAACCACAGAAGUACCAAAUUACCAUAUUUAGUGAUAUUUUUGAUUCUUCGAGCUAAUCUAUUACAAUAUUUUCUAUGAUACCAAAUAAAAUGCUUUUUUCCCCAAAAUAUCCAGGGGUAACACUGUAAGGAGGUAGAUUCUCUUAUGAACACUGUGCACUGAUUAUGAAGGUAAAAGAAGAGUGCUGAACCUAUUCUGAGAAGUCAGCAUCUUUGGAUCAAAUCCCAGAGAAGAUAACUUGGAAGAGAUCAAGGAGUACCUUUUAUAGAUGAAAAUUUCUAACGCUUCUAUUUCAAAGUGAUAAAGCCUCACCUGGUGGAAUUUUUUUUUUUAAAAGGAAAGUGGACAGAUUCAUACAUCAUUAGUGAGGCUGUAACGUGGUGCCAAAGAGAGCCAUGUUUUAGGCUGCUUGGCAUUGUCACUGUGGCCUCUAUCUCUUACAUAUGCCCAUGGAGUGCACAGAUUGUAGUAGGAUGCGAAUGAUUCAUUCUGUCCUUUCAAGAAUUGGUCAUUAAAAAUAUCAGGGGAGGGCCAGGGAUUUAGCUCAGUGGUUCUGCUGCCUGCCUUGCAAGCGCAAGGGCCCAAGUUUGAUCCCCCCGGUACCAAAAAAAAAGAUUCUUAAAAACGUCAGGGGGCUAGGGAUGUAUCUCAGUGGUAGAGCAUUUGCCUUGCAUGUGCAAGCCUCUGGAUUCAGUUCCUAGAACUGAAAAAAAUACAAAUAAGAAAAGAAAAGAAAAAGCGACUCUUGAUGUGAAGAAUGGCAACAAAUGCAUGCUAGAUCUUUCUCUUUGCUUACAUUUGUAAAGGAUGUCAGCUAAGGUGGGAAUUUUCGUUUUACACAUCAUUCUGAUCAAAUAGAAGAGUUUUACAUGUUAUCUAAAGUAUAACUUGUACCUGCCUCCAAAUUGUUCCCCUAGGGAAAGAGUCUAGGGGAGAGGAAGAAAAAGAGAAGGGAUACAACAAUAAUUGUAUGUUAAAUACAUGUAUCAACACUCAGGACGAAACCAUUAUGUACUGCAAACAUGUACUAAUGAAAACAAAAAAGUUCAAGACCACUCCCCAAAAAUGGAAAGUCUGAAUUUCUGCAUACCUUGUCAUGAUUUUAACUAUGCAUUUGAUAAACUCUACCGUAAUUGCACAAGUAAUAGUUGCAACAGUUCUUCUUUUGAGAACAUAUUAUAUGAUGGGGAUUGUACAUAUAUUAUCUCUGAAUCUUAUAAUUACUCUUCAAGCUACUUAUUUUUUUGUUUGUUUGAUUUUUUAAAAAUUUUAUUUUAUGGGUACAUUUUAGGUAUACAAUAUAAUGACAUUCAUCAUUGGAAUUUGCACCUUGACAUAAUCUCUCUUGGUUCUUAUUUUUUCCCCCUUCUACUGCCCUCCCUUCAACCCCUCCAUCCCUCCCUAUUUACAAAGACUUUGUUUCCAUUUAUUCAUUUUCUCAUAUUAAUUCCAUUCCCUUCUUUCCUUUGCCUGACCCGUUCCACUUCCUCUUCCCCUUUGCCCCUUUUCUUCCUAUUUCACAUUAUCUAUUACAUCUUUUAGUCCUUAUUACACUUUCAGUUUCUCACACUAGGGAAACUAUUCGGUAUUUACACAUGUGUGACCUAUUUAUUUCACUUAAGAGUAUGGCCUUGGUAUGCAUCCAUUUAGCUAUAAAUGACUCUAGUUUUUCAUUCUUUAUGGCUGAGUAGUACGCCAUUUUAUUAAAAAAAACACAUUUUCUUUAUCCAGUUUCCAGUUGAUGGGCAUUUGGGCUUCUUCCAAGUUUUAGCUAUUACAAAUUGUGUUAUGAACAUGGGUACACAUAUAUCACUGUGGUAUGAUUCUUUUAAUUCUUUGGGGAAGAUACCCAGCAAGGGAAUAGCUGGGUCAAAUGGGACUUCCAGUCCUAGUUCUUUGAGGUAUCUCCAUACUGAUUUCCACAGUGGUUGCACCAGUCAACACUCCCACCAGCGGUGGAGCAGUGUUCCUCUUUCCCCCCAGCCCUGCCAGCGUUUGUUAUUGGUUGAUUUCUUGAUCGCAGCCCUUCUUUUUGGGGUGAGGUGGAAUCUCAGCAUUGAUUUCAUUUGCAUGUUUCUAAUGACCAGUGAUGUUGAACAUUUUUUCAUGUUUAUUUCCCAUUACUACUUCUUUGAGAGAUGUCUGUUCAUUUCCGAUGCCCAUUUUUGGAUUGGGUCUUUAAAUUUGGGAGGUCUGAUUUUUUUAAGUUCUUUAUAGAUUCUAGAUAGAAGACCUUUGUCUGAGGAACACCUGGUGAACAUUUUUUCCCACAUUAUGGGUUGUCUCUUCACACUGUUGGUGGUUUCUCUUGCUGUGCAAAAGCUUUUUAGUAAGAAGAUAUCCCACUUGUUGAUUGUGCUAGUUCACGGGCAGCUGAGGUUUUGUUCAUAAAAUCUUUUCCUACACCAGUGUCUUCAAGAGUUCUACAUAACCUCUGUUCCAGCUGGUUCAGCGUUUCUGUUUUAAUAUUUAGAUCUUUAAUCCAUUUCAAUUUUAGUUUAAGUGCAUGAUGAGGUCUAGUUGUAUUCUUUGGCAAGUUGAAAGCCAAUUUUUCCAGCACCAUUUAUUAAAGAGGCUAUCUUUCCUCCAGUGAGGGUGUUUGACUCCUUUGUCGAAAAUGAGAUGGCUGAGUGUGUCUGGAGUUGUUUCUGCAUCUUCUAAUCUAUUCCACUGGUCCUCAGGUCUGUUUCAUUGCCAGUACCAUGCUGUUUUUAUUACAGUAGCUUUGUAGUAUAGUUUCUAGUUGGGGAUUGUGAUAACCCCUGCCAUGUCUCUGUUACUUAGAAUUGCUUUUGCUAUUCUGGGUCUCUUCUUUUUCCAAAUGAAUUUUUGGAUUGUUUUCUCAAGGUCUGUGAAGUAUGCUGUUGGAAUGUCACUUGGGAUUGCAUUGAAUUUAUAUAGCAGUUUUGGAAGUAUGGCCAUUUUCACUAUGAUGAUCCUUCCUACCCAGGAGCAGGGGAUAUCUUUCCAUUUUCUGAUAUCAUCUUCAAUCUCUCUUUUCAGAGUGCUAUAGUUUUCAGAAAGAGAUCUUUGAUUUCUUUUGUUAGUUUGAUUCCUAGGUAUUUCAGUUUUUGGAUGCUAUUGUGAAAGGAAUUAUUUGCCUUAUUUCUCCCUCAAUGAGUCUAUUGUUUGUGUAGAGGAAAGCUAUUGAUUUUUGUGCGUUGACCUUGUAUCCAGCUACUUGACUGAAUUUGGUUAUUAAGUCUAGAAGACUUUUGGUGGAGUUCUUGAGGUCUUCUAUAUAGAGUAUCAUGUCAUCUGCAAAGAAUGACAAUUUGACUUCUUCAUUUCCUAUUUUCCUUUUAUUUCAUUCUGUUGUCUAAUUGCUGUGGCUAAUGUUUCCGAAAGUAUAUUGAAUAGGAGUGGUGAUUGUGGACAUCCUUGUCUUGUUCCUGAUUUUAGUGUGAAGGAUUUCAGUUUUUGACCAUUUAGUAUAAUACUGGCUGUUGGUUUUUCAUAGAUGGCUUUCAUCAGAUUGAGGUAGAGACUGUCUAUUCCAUUUUUUUGUAGGUUUUUUGUCACAAAUACGUGUUCGAUUUUGUCAAAUGCUUUUUUUUGCAUCUAUUGAGAUGUUCAUAUUGUUUUUGUCCUUGGCUCUAUUGAUAUAGUAUAUUACAUUGAUUGAUUUGCAUAUGUUGAACCAUCCCUGCAUCCCUGGGAUGAAUCCCACUUGGUCAGGGUUUAUGAUCUUCUUGAUGAUCUUCUUCAUUCUGUUUGCCAGUAUCUUAUGAAGGAUUUUUGCAUUUAUGUUCAUUAGUGAGAUUGGUCCAUAGUUCUCUUUUUUGGUUGGGUGUUUCUCUGCUUUGGGGAUCCAGGUGAUGCUUGCUUCCAGGAAUGAAUUUGGGAGUAUUGCUUCCCUUUCAAUUUCAUUGAAGAGUUUCAACAGUAGUGGCAGUAGUUCUUCUCUAAAUGCCUUGUAGAAUUCAGCAGUGCAGCCAUCAGGACCUGGGCUUUUCUUAGUUGUUAAGUUUUUAAUUAUAUUUUCAAUUUCAUUGAUUGAUAUUGGGUUGUUUAGAAUUUUUAGGUCUUCUUCGUUCAACUUUGGUAAUUCAUAUGUAUCUAAGAAUCUUUCCGUUUCUUCUGUGUUUUCCAUCUUAUUGACGUGUAGGUUCUGGAAGUAGGUAUUGCUGAUCCUCUGGAUUUCUGCUGGGUCUGUUGUAAUUUCACCCUUUUCAUUCCUAAUUGCAUGGAUUUGGGCCUUUUCCUUCCUUUUUCUGAUAAGGUUGCUUAAGGGUUUAUCAAUUUUGUUGAUUCUUUUGAAGAACCAACUCUUGACUUCAUUGAUUUUUUUGUAUUGUUUUCUUAGUCUCCAUUGCAUUGAUUUCUGCUGUGAUUUUUUUUUUUUCCUCUGCUGUGAUCUUUAUAAUUUCCUCCCAUGUAAGAGCUUUGGGUUUGUCCUGCUCCUCUUUUUCUAGAAGCUUGAAGUUCAGCAUCAGGUUGUUUAAUUGGGCUCGCUCUGUUUUCCUAAUAUGUGUAUUCACUGCUAUGAAUUUCCCUCUUUAGACUGCUUUCAUUGUGCCUCAUAGAUUCCGAUAUAGUGUAUUGUCAUUGUCGUUUAAUUGCAGGAACUGUCUGAUUUCGUCAUUAAUUUCCUCUGUGACCCAUUGGUUAUUCAGAAGUGUGUUGUUCAAUUUCCAUGUGUUUACGAAAUUCUUGUGGUUUCUUUUGCUAUGGAUCUCCAGUUUCAUCACACUAUGGUCUGGUAAUGUACAGUGGAUAACAUCACUUUCUUUGUGUUUACUUAAAUGUGUUCUUGAGCGAGUGUGUGGUCUCUUUUGACCAAUGACCUGUGUGCAGCUGAAAACAAUGUGUCUUCUGAUUUUGUGGGGUAGAACACUCUGUAAACAUCUGUUAAGUUCAUUUGUUCAAGGGUUCGAUUGAGUUCUAGUAUUUCCUUGCUUGUUUUUUGUCUAGUUGAUCUAUCUAUUUGUGACAGUGGGGUAUUGAGGUCCCCCUCUACUACUGUAUUAGAACUUAUAUGAUUUUUCAUGUCCAUUAGUAUUUAUUGUAUACAGUUGGG
ensembl:lncRNA